rnacentral:rRNA from 1 species
AAGCGGGGAUACAAAUAUAANACGAGAAGACCCCAUGGAGCUUUAAACCCAACAGCACCCGUUUAUUUUCAUCCUCACAUAAGUUAGGUUAUGCCUGUUUGGUUUUAGGUUGGGGUGACCACGGAGUAUAAAACAACCUCCAUGAAAAAAGGACCAAAAAUCCUUAUUAGAGAAAGACAUUUCUAAAAUUAAUAAAUUAAUUUUUAAUGAUCCGAUAUUCGAUCAACGAACCAAGUUACCCUGGGGAUAACAGCGCAAUCCACUUCAAGAGCUCCUAUCGACAAG